AGCUGGUCUGAGUGCAGUGGUGUUUACAACCAGUUACAGAUUUCUUUGUUUCAUCUCUACUCCCACUUCUUCACUUGACUAGCCUUGA
rnacentral:Y_RNA from 1 species